rnacentral:rRNA from 1 species
GACGAACGCUGGCGGCGCGCCUAAUACAUGCAAGUAGAACGCUGAAGGAGGAGCUUGCUUCUCUGGAUGAGUUGCGAACGGGUGAGUAACGCGUAGGUAACCUGCCUGGUAGCGGGGGAUAACUAUUGGAAACGAUAGCUAAUACCGCAUAAUAGUAGAUGUCGCAUGACAUUUGCUUAAAAGGUGCAAUUGCAUCACUACCAGAUGGACCUGCGUUGUAUUAGCUAGUUGGUGAGGUAACGGCUCACCAAGGCAACGAUACAUAGCCGACCUGAGAGGGUGAUCGGCCACACUGGGACUGAGACACGGCCCAGACUCCUACGGGAGGCAGCAGUAGGGAAUCUUCGGCAAUGGACGGAAGUCUGACCGAGCAACGCCGCGUGAGUGAAGAAGGUUUUCGGAUCGUAAAGCUCUGUUGUAAGAGAAGAACGAGUGUGAGAGUGGAAAGUUCACACUGUGACGGUAUCUUACCAGAAAGGGACGGCUAACUACGUG